GAUGAACGCUAGCUACAGGCUUAACACAUGCAAGUCGAGGGGUAACGAGAGGAAAGCUUGCUUUCCUUGUCGACGACCGGCGCACGGGUGAGUAACGCGUAACCAACCUGCCCCCAACUAAGGAAUAACCUUGCGAACGUAAGACUAAUACCUUAUAAUUUCCUCAGAUGACAUCUGACGAGGAAUAAAGAUUUAUCGGUUGUGGAUGGGGAUGCGUCUGAUUAGCUUGUUGGAGGGGUAACGGCCCACCAAGGCAACGAUCAGUAGGGGUUUUGAGAGGAAGGUCCCCCACAUUGGAACUGAGACACGGUCCAAACUCCUACGGGAGGCAGCAGUGAGGAAUAUUGGUCAAUGGGCGGAAGCCUGAACCAGCCAAGUAGCGUGCAGGAUGACGGCCCUAUGGGUUGUAAACUGCUUUUAUACAGGAAUAAAGUUAGCCACGUGUGGUUAUUUGUAGGUACUGUAUGAAUAAGGACCGGCUAAUUCCGUGCCAGCAGCCGCCGUAA
rnacentral:rRNA from 1 species